CUGACCUUGCCACAGGGACCUGUCUCACUCUUACAGACCGCGGUCAUAGCGGAUGAGAGAGAUCAGACCUUGCUCCGUUAAAUUAAUCCUGUCUUGACUAGGCUGAAAGAGCCCACAGUGGAAUUUCAGCCAGGCCGGUUGAAGCGUGGUGCAAACAGUAGAUGCCCACUCUGAUGACCAAGGCCAUGUUUAGUUACUCCCAACUCCCAACUUUGACACUAUGCAAAAAGAAGAUUCUCCAUCACAUCAAACUUGCGGUACAUGCAUGGAGUACUAAAUGUAGAUGAAAUUAAAAACUAAUUGCACAGUUUUGUUGUACUUUGCGAGACGAAUCUUUUGAGCCUAAUUAGUCAAUAUUUGGACAAUAAUUCACAAAUACAAACGAAACGCUACAGUGUGCUACAGUGCUGUAACAGUAAUUUGGCACCUCCCAAAUUCCCCAACUAAACAAGGCC
rnacentral:lncRNA from 1 species